ACCCGGAUAGCUGAGUUGGUUAGAGCGUGGUGCUGAUAAUAGCAAGGUUGCAGGUUCGAUCCCUGCCUGGGACA